GACGUAGGGGGCAAGCGUUGUCCGGAAUCAUUGGGCGUAAAGCGCUCGUAGGUGGAUCGGUAAGUCUGCAAAGAAAGACCCGGGCUCAACUCGGGGAACGGUGUGGAUACUACCGAUCUUGAGGCAAUCAGAGGAUGAUGGAAUUCCCGGUGUAGCGGUGAAAUGCGUAGAUAUCAGGAGGAACACCGAUGGCGAAGGCAGGUCUCUGGGCCACUACUGACGCUGAGAAGCGAAAGCAUGGGGAGCGAACAGG
rnacentral:rRNA from 1 species